rnacentral:lncRNA from 1 species
GGGGCAAAGCUUAAGAGAAACAUUUAAGGAAACACCCACUUGGAAGGAAGAACCAAGAGUUGACUCCAUUCCAAGUGAUCCACUACCAAGUAAUCUGGUCACCAUGUUAGCUCCAUCCGAAUGGUGUGUGAAAUGCUGAGGGUGACUGGACACAGAGUGGAGUCCUGCCCAGGAGCAUGUGAUAGACGGGACCAGGCAGGCAGCAUUGCAAACCAGCCUCUGCUCCUCUAGCAGAGCGUGUGGCUUGGCAUGGGGGAGUGGUGUCAGUCCAGAGGAAGAGGCACCUCUUAGCAAUCCAUCAGCCAAGAGAGAUGUCUUUGUGUAAUUAUCUUCCCAGAAGACCCAUGAAAUAUCAAACGCUGGACACUUUUCAAAACAAAACAUUUUACAAAACAAAAGACGGCUCAUGAGGACCACCAGUGACCUCCGAGGGAUCAUCAGUAGCUCUUAAGAUCACAUUUUGGAGAAAAGUCGUCAGAUCUAAAGUUACCUAACUUUUAGACUCAGAAUUGAAACAGUUGUGAGCUUUGGGUCAUCAUAUUCUAAGUGAUAUUGUAUGAAAAGUCAUAUAUUAAAGAAUCAAAAUCAUUGUUUCCUUA